rnacentral:lncRNA from 1 species
ACGCCCUUAUCGUCGGCGACGCCCAGGUCCGCAGCUCCCCGCGCGAGGCUCCGGGGCGCCAUUGCUGUCCACGCCGUCGCCCUCUUCGUUGAGGCGAACACAGCCCCCGCCCCGCUCGAGAACCUUCGCCCGCGCACGACGAGUCGACGAUGCCUCCUGUGCACGACACCCCUGCGGCAUCUCCGAGGUGGAGGCAGAUCGGCGUCCCUGCACCGUCGCCCUCGCUCUCGCAGUCGGCAUCUCCACGACAGAGGCGGCGUGGUGUUCCUGUGCCCUCGCCGUCUACGUGGCCGUGGACCUCGACGGUUCACGGUCAUCGAGUUCUUCGCCCACUGGUCGGCCCCUCGUCUCUGACUUAAUUGAUUCGUUGUUUUGUUUUUGUUCCUUUUGGUUCCCGUUGAUACGAUGUGGCUGGCCUGGUUCUAAAUCGAGCGUCGCGAAAUUAGUGCUGAUGUGUGGAUUUGGAGUAUGUCUGUUGUGUGGUUUUCUGAGUAUGCUAGGAUUAUUUGGUUAGUGUAACCUGGUGGUAUGGAUGCACGAUUCAAUCCGAUUAGUGGCCUAUUGUCGUGCUAGGCUGUAAACGCAAAUACCAGUUCGUCGUUAUCUUCUCCACUGAAGAACUCAACUACAAUUCUAACCUGCUACUGUUUGAUGAAUUUCCAUGCACAGAUGACAUCAGUGACUUAACCUAUGCAUCACAUAGGCCCACUCUAGGUCAUCACUCACCAGGAUGUAGGAUGUGAAUACCAAACUAAUCCAGGCGCUGCUGUGAGGGCAUCCAAUCACUCUUUCAGGUGCAUUCGGGGCCCUCUUUUGCAUUCUUCUUAGCCUAAAUCAAAAUCCAGUCCAAUUUAGAAUUUUUUGAGCAAAAAUCUAUCUGAAUAAAUAUCAGUACAUUUUUCUUAUUAGAAUUUUAAGUGCACUGCAGCAGAGCUGUGAGAUACUAUAGAAACAUAAUUAGAAACAGGAACAAUGAAUGCUAGCCCUAAGAACAGAGGUACUAAAACUUUUGCACAUCCAUAAAAAUAAAUUUCUGAAUAAUUAGAGCUUUACCAGUUGCCACAUCCCUAUAUAAAUGAUCAGUACAUCGACCUGAUCUUAUAAUAUUGGCUUCAAAUCUAUUAGCAGUCCUAAAUAUUAUUAUAGCCAAAAGAAUGAUACAGUUCAUGAAACUAAUAAUUGUUGAUACAUCUGCAAAAGAGGCCCAUUAAUUCCAUCAUCUUUGUACAGCUAUUCACAAGAGAUUAUUCGGUUUCAUAGAGUUUGAUAUUUGCUCCUACUCUUAUGUAUUUAAUAGGUGAGAUGUGGAUAAGUGUUUGUUGAUUGUCUUAAUUCUUAUGCUUCAUAACCUGUGGUGAUUAUUUCUUAUGUGUCUGCAAUACUUUGUCUUUCACUGAAAAUUUAAGUCUGUAUUCUCUGUCAAGAUUUCAGCUAUAAGUUUCUUGGAAGCUUAUGAAUCUCAUAUAAAUCUCAUUAUCCAUUUAUACAUCUGUUGAAAUCUAGAACUAGGUUCUUCUUGUGUUAUUUUUCUUACAAGAAUGUUCAGAGGUUCACUUCCUUUUCAUGACUCAGGAGACUAGCGAGAUUUCAGAGCCACCAGUCAUACCUUUGUUGUUAUGGUGGUUAUAUGAUGCAUAAUUUCUUUAUUUGCAUCAAUUAAGAUCACCCUUUAAUGCACACUUUACUUUUAUCUAAACCCACUGCAAUCUUAUUUGAUACAUGAAUGUGAGAUGUUUAUGCAGUUGUUAUUUCUUAUUUACUAAUGCUCCUCUUGACUGAAAUUUAGACCAGAUUACUUGGCAGACUGUAGUUGGCAUGCUCCUGGUGAGACCCUGCCGUCAUGUAAGCCAGCGUACAAGCGUAGGACUCAUGGUGCCAAGGUCCACAACAUGAGGCUCCAAAUUUUCUUCAUAUUUUAUUUAUGCUAUUAUUGAUAUUUAUUAAGAAGCUGCGAUGCAUGUCCAUCCAGACAAUUUAUUUCAAUUCAUUUUGCCAUUUGAUUAAGUGUCAUCCUCUAUUUGUCCAAACUGCAAGAAAGGGAGCUGAUUUAGUGAACCUUGGAGGAUACUGGAGACCACAACUAUGGGACCUCAGCCUUGCUAUAAUCGGGAUGUGAACAUUUGGCUCUUUUUAGUUGUGGUACUUUCAGUUCGGUUCUCGGUAAUUUGUGCCCAAAGUGACAUUUGAAGCUGACAGUGGUUUCUUCAGCCUCGCACAAGCAUUUUGUUUGGUGGUCCAAGCAAGUUAAGCUGAGCACUAGACCAAUUUGGCCUCUCUUGAGCUGUGAGUAUAUAAUCUCAUGAUGAUCACUGCUACGGUUUGAUGUAUCCGAAGUUAUACGUUGCAUAAAGAGUAGGUAUAUAGAAAUGGCUUGAGCUUUUGUAAUUAACUUAAUCGCAUAAUGUAAUAAUCAAGACAAUUUUAUUUGAGUCUAUUAAUUGUAUGUCUUGUUCUCAUCUUUAGCUCUCGUAGCAACGCACGGGCACUCACCUAGUACUACUAAAAACUUAUUUUCCGUUCCUCUCGCUCCACAUUCAAAGGUGGACCAAAAGCAAGAAGAAUAUGUAAGCUAAG